CCAUAUUCAAAAUCUUGGCUCCAGAUUCAAAAUUCAAACCGUAUACAUAUAUAACCUACAUUAUUCUGGCUCCCCUUUCAAAAUUCAAUCCCUCUCUCAAAUCCAGAGCACCUCCACAUCCAAUCUUCAAAUCCAGAGCACCUCCAAAUCCAAUCUUCAAACCGUAUCUAUUUUAUUUAGAAUACUCUGCUCCAUUCAAAGGUUAGGUGAUCUAGAUUUUUGUUUGGUUCUUCUUCAUUCAAUGUAAUCUUCUCUAAACCUCAUCGAUCAAGAAAAUCCACAAACCCUAAUUUCUGUCGCCGCAGAUCCAUGAAGUAGCAAUUAGGGCAAACUUCAAGAGAGAUCGAGCAUGUAAAGUGUGCCAGACGCCACCAUAUUCUCCUUCCACUAAGGUUAUAUUCCUCUUUGCCUUUCUCUGAAAUCUGAACACCGCCCACUGCCUUUCCCUUCUCUGAACUACAUCGAUUUUGGCGGUGUGUUAUUAUUUUGUGAUUAGGUUAUAUGGCGGUGUGUAACCAUCUUUGUCUUCGUUCCAAAGAUAAUCAGAUCAUAAAGAUGGUUACACACCGCCAUAUGUGAGGGUCCGAUGUCAACAGAGCGACUAAGAUGAAGCUGAAUUGGAGAUUAUGUUAUGUGGAAGCAUGGAGUUCAACUCUCCACGUUCUCUCACUAGUUUAUGGAUAUUGUUGGUGCUUCUUCCCUGUCAAUAAUUUCAUCUUUAUUAACUAUUGCAAAUCAUAAAGAUGGUUACACACCGCCAUAUGUGAGGGUCCAAUGUCAACAGAGCGACUAAGGUACUGUGGGAGAGAAAGGUCUAUGAUGCUGUUGAACUGUAUUUUCCGCGUAGGAGGAUGUUCGAUGCUUUUAACUAACGAUAGGGCUCGUAAGAAUCAAGCAAUUUUGAAGCUGAAUUGUUUGGUUCGAACCCAAUUCGAUGCGAAUGAUGUUGUACAACUGUUGUAUGCAAGUCAAAGAUGACAAUGGAUAUGCUGGUUUUCGUCUAACCAAACUGCUCACGAAAGCAGAAGCAGAAGCAGAAGCCGAAGCCGGAGCCGGAGUAGAAGCAGAAGCUUGCGACGCAGCAGGAGCAAAUCCUUGGAACGUUCUGUGUCGAAAUCGCCAGCUAAAUCUAAGUCACCAUCUUCUGUGAAGCCGGAAAGGUGUUGUAGCAUAUGUGUAACUAUAUGCAAACUUCUGAUUCAAAUACCUAUGUUCCAACUUCAUAUAGGAAAUAUAGACACCGCCAAUCUUGUAAAGGAAAGAAGUCAGCAGCGGUUUCCAGUCCCUGGAGAGCCCGUAUGUUUUGUCUGUGGCAAAUACGGGGAAUAUAUAUGUGAUGAGACCGAUGAUGAUAUCAAAGGUGGGAUUUCAGUACUAUGAACGACAAAGUGCUUGAAGAUUUCUACCAACACUGUUUUAACCCAAAAUAGUGGAUUGGUAUAAUUUUUCUUUUGUUUAAUAGGGUAGCAUCUCAAAGGAAACCACUGUUUUACCCCAAAAGUGGUUUCAAAACACUGUUGGGUUAAAACAGUGCGUUAAACCACUGUUGGGUUAAAACAGUGCGUUAAACUACUGUUGGGUUAAAAUAGUGGUUGAAACCACUGUUGGGUUAAAAUAGUGGGUUAAACCACUGUUGGGUUAAAACAGUGAGUUAAACCACUAUUGGGUUAAAACAGUGAGUUAAACCACUGUUGGGUUAAAACAGUGGUUUCAACCACUGUUGGGUUAAAAUAGUGAGUUUAACCACUGUUGGGUUAAAACAAUGAGUUUAACCACUGUUGAGUUACAACAGUGGUUGAAACUACUGUUGGGUUCGAAGAGUUAUCCGCAGGUAAUGGGACUGUUAAAAGUAUUCCUCAAAAGAAUACAUAAUCAAAAGGCUAAAUCUAACUCAGGCGGAAAGCUUCCAAAAAGUGUUUUGCUUGUAGGUCCACCUGGGACAGGGAAGACAAUGUUAGGCAGGAGAAGCAGGUGUGCCAUUUUCUCUUGUAGUGGUAGUGAGUUUGAAGAAAUGUUUAUUGGUGUUAGGACUUGCAAGGUUAGAGAUCUUUAAAUCAGUUGGAGGAAGCCGUAACCCGAAGGACCAACAAUACAUGAAGAUGCGUUUAAAUCAGUUGCUUUAGGCAUUAGAGGGUUUUAAACAAAAUGAAGGCAUUAUUGUUAUUGCUGCAACCAAGUUUCCGAAGUCAAUGGAUACGACACUAAUUAGACCUGGUCGGUUUGACCAUCGUGUGUUGUUCCCAAAUCCAGAUGUUAAAGGCAUGAGGCAAAUCAUGUUAAAGAUCUUACAGGCUGAUCGAGGCCUCUGUUGGAGAUUAGCAAUUGUUGCACUUCCAGCUAUGUUUUUGCUGAUUAUUCCAGGGGUAAUAUAUGGAAAUAUUUUAGCGAAAAAAGAAGAGAAAAUACAAGAAGCUUAUACAGUUUCCGGUGGGAUAGCAGAACAGGCGUUUUCUUUGAUUAAAACAGUUCAUUACUACGUUGGAGAGAAAAAAAUGGUGAGUCGGUUUUCAGAUGCGUUAAUACCAACUUUAGCUCUAGGUAUUAAACAAGGUUUGUUAAAAGGAAUGGUUCUUGGUAGCAUCGGAAUUUUGUUUUCUAUUUUCGCUUUUAUGAGCUGGUAUGGGAGCAUCUUGGUCAUCAAAAAAGGAAUCAAAGGGAGUAGUUUAUACCCAGACUAUUAUGACACUAAUACCGUGAAGGUAAACUACUGCACUUUAGUUUAUGCUGCCUUUAUGUUACUGGUUAUAUGGGUUUGAGUUUGGAUAAGUUGACCUGCUGACUUGUGGAUAUGGUUUUAGAGUUAUGUAGUUUGUAGAGUUUAUGCAUUUAUUUUAGUUUAAUGGGAAUUGCCAUAAGAGAUUACAUGAAAAUUUUUCACCUUUUUCGAGGUUAGCAGAGUCAGCCAUCAUACGUCCGUAGGAGUCGUCGUAAGUUAGGAUCAAACUCCCCAUUUUAGUUUGUAGUUUCACUAGAAUUUUGAUUUGAAGAUUUCUAAUCUCUUUUGGAACUUGAGUGCUCACUUUUGAAGAUUUCUAAUCUCUUUUGGAACAUGGGUUUCCCUAAACUGUUUCCUUCAUUAUUACAGGUGAAUGACGCGCAACUUAGCACCAUAAAGACCCUUUGAUAGUGAGUUUGCUUCUUCUAGCAUAGCUAUAUGAUUUUGAUUCUAUGUUAAUUUCAUUUCAUUAUGAGUAGCGUCUUAAACCGAAAUAUAUAUGUACAUUUGAGGCUUAAAACAUGAGUGUUUGAUACAGUCUCUUAUAUUGUUAUGUUAGUGUCUUUCUAA